AUGCAAAUGGCCCUAAAUAAAGGCGGAUCCUCUUUGGCUCUUCUUUUCCAUUCGUUUUGUAGUCCUUAAUUUAUCGAACUCGCAGAGCAGCUGAGAAAGGGCGCAGCGGUUUCCUUUUUCUCCUUCGAUUAUAAUCGAAAUUGAAUUCACCCUUUUCGUUACUUGUUGUCUCUCUCUCUUCCUCUCUCCCACAGACAGUGGAGUGACAUGGCGGAUGCUUACUGGAGGUACACCAGCGGUGGGCAGCAGGCGGCGACCCUUCCUCCUCAACUCGUCGCAAAACGUCCUCGCACCGAAUAUGAUGUUCCAAGUGGUCCCGAGUUUCCUGGCUAUUAUGGCCGUGAUGAUGAAAGGGGAAUGCCUCGUGUCAUUAGAGACACAGAUCCUAUAGAAGCAUCCUAUGAGCGCUACCUCCGUAGUGGGCAAAUUUCCUCCCAUGUUGCCAGUGAGUCUGCAAGAUCCAUAAAUAGUGGAAUUAGUGGCCAUCCUAUUGAAGAUCCACGUGUUAUGGGGAUUGGGGGACCCGACCCGCUGGCUUUAAAAAGCAGAAAUGUUGGAAUGGUAGGUGGCAGACCAGAAAUUUCCCUUCCUCCGGAUGCUAGCAGUACAUUGUUUGUAGAGGGUUUGCCUGCGGAUUGUACAAGAAGAGAGGUGUCACAUAUAUUUCGCCCUUUUGUAGGUUACAAAGAAGUAAGGCUGGUACCAAAAGGAUCGCGACAUCUCGGAGGCGAUCCUUUGAUUCUUUGCUUUGUUGAUUUCGUGACUCCACUUCAUGCAGCUGCUGCAAUGGAUGCCUUGCAAGACAUUGCAGGGUGUUGUAUGAUGGGCAUUAACAUCUGCUCUGUUCAUGAAAGAGCUGGGAGGCUUUUCGUGUCAAUUUUGUUGUUUGUUGCUAUCAUUUAGGCGUGGAGACUUUUAAGGUUGAUGAGACAAAGAAAAUCCAAUACUUGUCCUUCUCCAAGUAAAACUUUUCUGACAGAGAGCUAGUGAAUCCCAUCCAUGGCAGAGUUACAAGAAGAUUUUGCUGAUCUGUUUAUGCGACUCACAUAUCGACUGCUGGUAAGCUUCACUUGGUUUUAGUCCUGCAUUGCUUCUCAUAUAAUUUCUUUUUCCAUUCUUUAAGUAUUUGUUAAUUUGAGGACAACAAUUUUUUUUGUGACGAAAGUGAAGUUCUUCAAAAGUUAUCUUUCUCGAAUUCAACCAAGCAAAGAGUCCCAAAAUACCUUUGUUUUUUGGUUGGAAAAAUCAAGUGAUUUUACAUGUUUGCAUAGGAAUUUAUGCAUGUUACUACUUAGGAGGUUCUGGUUGGUGAAUGAUUAGAAGCUUAUUAAAUAUCUAGCUACCUAACUUGAGUUGAGAGAAGCCAUAUGCACACAAGUGGCAGCAGAAUGUGAUUAAAAUUGCUGCCUUCUUAAAGAAAAAAGGUACUAUUGUUUUGACCUUGUUGCUCUAUGCACGUAGAACUGCAGAUGUUUUUAGCUUUUGGCUGGAUAAUAUUUUUCCUCAAGAAAGAUGUCGUGGCCUGACAGUUUCGUUAUUCAGGUGCAGGGUCAUGUAAAAGAGAAGGGAGGGUGGCCUAAUGCGGACACAUGAGUUGUUCCUCAUAGCCUUUAAUUACAGCUUUGCAUACUACAUUUUCUCUGGUUAAGCAAUUUUGGUUACAAUUGCAUUGUACCCUGUGGCUGGUCCUUCUGUUGCCACUGCCAAUGUAGUAGCUGAUUGUAAUUUAUGUGUUCAUCCUUGUAAUGAACAACUUUACAAUGCCAAA